rnacentral:lncRNA from 1 species
UUAAGGAUAUGGACCUUUAGGGUGCAUUUGGUUUGCAUUGGCUUUUUAAGAUACUGAGUAAUUCAAUCAAAAUUUAAAAAAAUAUGACGAUAUUUAGCUAAAUGCACUAAGUAAUCUACUCAAUAAUUAGAUUCACUUGGAAAUAAGGUUCCUCUUAGGGCUUGUUUGGUUCAAGAGUGGAAUUGAAAUGGAUAAUGGAAUGGGAAUGAAUUGGAAUGGUAAUUGGAUUGGUAGGGCUGGCAAAUGAGCGAGCCGGCUCGCGUUCGA